rnacentral:tRNA from 1 species
UGCCUAGUAGUUCAACUGGUAAAGAACCUGCCUGCAAUGCAGGAAAUCCCGGUUCGAUUCUGGGUCAGGAAA